GGAGAAGAAGAAGAGCUCCCUGCCGAUCCAAUUCAGGAGAGGAAGUGGUAGGAUAUCGAUGCAGCUGCCGGUUCAUGGAUACCUCUUCAGUGCAUGUCGCAGGCCUGCACUCGUAUGGGUUUGCAUGACCCGGCAGAUGAACCCGCCAUUGUCUUCCUCUAUUGAUUAAUUGGAUUGAAGGGAGCUCCUCUAGCUACAUCU
rfam:Oryza punctata chromosome 1, whole genome shotgun sequence.